UACGUAGGGGCCUAGCGUUGUCCGGAUUUAUUGGGCGUAAAGAGCUCGUAGGCGGCUUGGUAAGUCAGGUGUGAAAUCUCCACGCUCAACGUGGAGGGGCCACCUGAUACUGCCAUGGCUUGAGUCCGGUAGGGGAGUGUGGAAUUUCCGGUGGAGCGGUGAAAAUGCAUUGAGAUCGGAAAGAACACCAACGGCGAAAGCACUCUGCUGGGCCGACACUGACAC
rnacentral:rRNA from 1 species